rnacentral:rRNA from 1 species
UACAGAGGGUGCGAGCGUUGUUCGGAAUUAUUGGGCGUAAAGCGCUUGUAGGCGGCACGUCAAGUCGCGUGUGAAAUCCCCAGGCCUUAACCUGGGAAGUGCGCGCGAAACUGACGAGCUUGAGUGCCGGAGAGGGUCGCGGAAUUCCCGGUGUAGAGGUGAAAAUUCGUAGAUAUCGGGAGGAACACCAGUGGCGAAGGCGGCGACCUGGACGGACACUGACGCUGAGACGCGAAAAGCGUGGGGAGCAAACAGG